UACAGAGGGUGCGAGCGUUAAUCGGAAUUACUGGGCGUAAAGCGUGCGUAGACGGUUAUUUAAGUCGGGUGUGAAAGCCCCGGGCUCAACCUGGGAAUUGCAUUCGAGACUGAAUAGCUAGGGUACGGUAGAGGGAAGCGGAAUUUCCGGUGUAGCGGUGAAAUGCGUAGAUAUCGGAAGGAACAUCAGUGGCGAAGGCGGCAUCCUGGACCGGUAUUGACGCUGAGGCGCGAAAGCCAGGGGAGCAAACGGG
rnacentral:rRNA from 1 species